UACUAAAGCCCCCUAUACUAAAGCCUCCUCUCAAUUGCUCAGGGUAGUCUUUCUCAGAGUAGUCUAGAUCACAUCCCACAAUACAUGCCGGAAGAAGGGAGUAGGUGUUUGAAUUGAUAUCUUGGUCAGUGAAAAUAUUUAUGCAGACAAUCUUUCUAAUGGGUAUAUAAAAAGAAUAUGUUUUGGUGUCACUUUAGGAUGGAAAUGACAAUUGUUUGGAUUGGACUGAGCAGAAAAAUGAUAAUUUUUCAGUGUAAUCUUACUGCAAAUUUUUGGUCUAUUCGGCCUUGGAGUAUUAUCUUGGGAUCCAUUGUGCCAUAUGAAGUGGCAUGCUUUUCUUGGGACUGAUUCAUGAUGGUUGUCUGAUUCAACCAAAUUUCUACUAUAUAUAAGCCAACAAAGGUGUACGAACACUGCACCAAAAUAUUGUAUUUUGUGCUUUGACAAAGGAUGUAACGAAUAGCUGGCGUCAGGUAUUUCAAUUAUAGUUUCGGUGCUCUUUGUUCUCGGAGAAGCUCCUUGUGGUUAGCUAUAUAUAAGUUUAUAUCAUUUACUAAAUCUUCAUGAGCUUUCAACUUCUAAAUGUCAAGUAUCUUGAGGAUGAAACCUGCCUUUGCUGUUGACAUUCUAAUUCGGCACCAUUGUGGGUAUUAUUAAAAAUCAAGUUUGCCUUUUUAA